rnacentral:rRNA from 1 species
UACGUAGGGGGCAAGCGUUGUCCGGAUUUAUUGGGCGUAAAGAGCGUGUAGGCGGCCAUACAGCUCAGCUGUGAAAACUCGAGGCUCAACCUCGAGACGUCGGUUGAAACCGUAUGGCUAGAGUCCGGAAGAGGAGAGUGGAAUUCCCGGUGUAGCGGUGAAAUGCGCAGAUAUCGGGAAGAACACCCGUGGCGAAGGCGGCUCUCUGGGACGGUACUGACGCUGAGACGCGAAAGCGUGGGGAGCGAACAGG